rnacentral:lncRNA from 1 species
UUAAUCUUGUUCCGAAUCUAUUAGGUCUAAAAUAUACAACAACAACAACAACAACAACAAAGCCUUUUCCCACUAAGUGGGGUCGGCUAUAUGAAUCCUAGAACGCCAUUGCGCUCGGUUUUGUGUCAUGUCCUCCGUUAGAUCCAAGUACUCAAGUCUUUUCUUAGGGUCUCUUCCAAAGUUUUCCUAGGUCUUCCUCUACCCCUUCGGCCCUGAACCUCUGUCCCGUAGUCACAUUUUCGAACCGGAGCGUCAGUAGGCAUUUUUUUCACAUGUCCAAACCACCGGAACCGAUUUUCUCUCAUAUUUCCUUCAAUUUUGGCUACUCCUACUUUACCUCGGAUAACCUCAUUCCCAAUCUUAUCAUUUCUCGUGUGCCCAUACAUCCCACGAAGCAUCCUCAUCUCCGCUACACCCAUAUUGUGUACGUUGAUGCUUCACCGCCCAACAUUCUGUGCCAUACAACAUCGCUGGCCUUAUUGCCGUCCUAUAAAAUUUUCCCUUGAGCUUCAGUGGCCUACGACGGUCACACAACACGCCGGAUGCACUCUUACACUUCAUCCAUCCAGCUUGUAUUCUAUGGUUGAGAUCUCCAUCUAAUUCUCCGUUCUCUUGCAAGAUAGAUCCUAGGUAGCGAACAUGGUCACUUUUUGUGAUCUUCGCUAGAUUGCUCCGGUCAUUAGUGUGGAUAAGUAUAUAAAUGGAUAGAGAUAGGAAAGCAAACACAAGAUGUACGUGGUUCACCCAGAUUGGCUACGUCCACGGGAUAGAGGAGUUCUCAUUAAUUGUGAAGGGUUUACACAAAAGCAAACACAAGAUGUACGUGGUUCACCCAGAUUGGCUACGUCCACGGAAUAGAGGAGUUCUCAUUAAUUGUGAAGGGUUUACACAAGUACAUAGGUUCAAGCUCUCCUUUAGUGAGUACAAGUGAAUGAUUUAGUACAAAUGACAUUAGGAAAUAUUUUGGGAGAAUGAUCUCGUAGCCACGAAACUUCUAAGUACCGGAGUGUGGUAUCGUCUUGACUUGCCUUAUCUGUCUCAUAGGUAGAUGUGGCAUCUUCUCUGGAAGUACUCUUCCUCCAUCCAGGGGUGGUAUCUGUAACUGGUGGAGAUGCACAAGGUAAUGUAUCAAUUUCACUUGAAGCUUACUUGUAGUUUCAUGCUUGGUCAAGCGCGAUACAAACCAUGUAGUAGGAGUCCCCCAAGUCGCCGAGCUAGGGGAUCUGCUGAAAGAGGUGACAGACAAGGUAAGCAAUCAGAGCUCCGGCUGAUUGUUCACAUUCUCCCUAUCUUGCAGGCAGCAUGAAGGAUAAAGAGAAGAAAAAUGAGGAGAGAUGAUAUGGGAUACUUUUGCUUUUGAAGAAGUAACUUUCCACAGGCUUAUUCUUAAACUGGGCUGGAGGGUUUUCUGGUUUCCUCCAGAGUAUAAGGCCGACUGAAGAAUUUGAGGGUCAAAACAAGUCCAUCAAAUCUAGAGUACGUUCGACCCUGCUGAUAUGGAAUACUUUUGCUUUUGACAGAGUAGUGGAUGUAUCGGCACGUGUGCUGUUACGCUUGUCUUCACAUGCUUCCUUGUAUCCUUCUCACUUGCCCUAUCUGUUCCUCAGGCAGAUGCGGUAUCUUCCCUGGAAGCAUAAGAUGUUGAAGAUGAGUACUCGAGAGCAAUGCCAGGUAAGUAAUCAGGUAAGGGGUUCCAGGCAGUCAGUUCCUGGCUGGAAGCUUGAUUCCAAGUGCUGACUGAUUGCUCUUUUUCUCCUUGUCUUGAAGGUAAGAACAAGGCCAAAGGAAAAGACAGGGAAAAAGCAUGAUAUGGGAUACUCUUGCUUUUAACCCUGAUGAUAUGAGAUAUUCUUGCUCUAGUAUAGCUUGUUUACAGAGGUAUUAUCGGGGGGAAAGAAAGCUGAAUAUUUAGAAAGGCUUCGUUGGGAGUGCCCUCUCAGAUAAGAGAAAGGGUUGAGCAUUUUUGCAGGUCUGCCUGUCCGUUAGGGAUGGAGGUCGACAUAUAUAGGAGUCUCCCUAACAUCAAGUAAUAAUGCUAUUCCUUUACCCUGCUUGGUUAUAGCACGGUAAUGGGAGCUGCCAGCUUCACAUGUUUUAACUCUGUCAGAGCACUUUGAAAAAGUGGUCUGUGGUAUCUGGAAAGCUGAUGUUGCGUGUGAAGAUUACAGACAAGCUUUAUCCAAGGAGAUCCAGCUCUUGAAGUUGGGAAAGUGGUGCCUCUUCGAUUUUUGAACAAGCAAUCCUGUCGGGGAUCUGGCUCUCGAGAUUCGGAGAACGAUGCCUCUUCGAUUUUUGAGAAAGCAAUCCUGCUGGGGGUCUGGCUCUCGAGAUUCGGAGAGCGGUGUCUCUUCGAUUUUUGAGAAAGUAAUCAUGUUGGGAGUCUGGCUCUCGAGAUUCGGAGGGCAGUGCCUCUUCGAUUUUGGAGCAAGCAAUCUUGUUGGGAGUGUUUUCUCGAAUGUGAGUAAAGGUUGGGCGUGUUUGCUAGUCUACCUUGCCACGAAGCAGAGAGGUUGACACACAGGGACUUUCCAAUUAUCCAGCAGUGGUACUGUUCCUUUACCCUCUCUUCGAUUUUUUGAGAAAGUAAUCAUGUUGGGAGUCUGGCUCUCGAGAUUCGGAGGGCGGUGCCUCUUCGAUUUUGGAGCAAGCAAUCUUGUUGGGAGUGUUUUCUCGAAUGUGAGUAAAGGUUGGGCAUGUUUGCUAGUCUACCUUGCCACGAAGCACAAAGGUUGACACACAGGGACUUUCCAAUUAUCCAGCAGUGGUACUGUUCAUUUACCAUCUCUUCGAUUUUUGAGAAAGUAAUCAUGUUGGGAGUCUGGCUCUCGAGAUUCGGAGGGCGGUGCCUCUUCGAUUUUGGAGCAAGCAAUCUUGUUGGGAGUGUUUUCUCGAAUGUGAGUACAGGUUGGGCAUGUUUGCUAGUCUACCUUGCCACGAAGCACAGAGGUUGACACACCGAGACUUUCCAAUUAUCCAGCAGUGGUACUGUUCCUUUACCCUUGUGGGUAAUAAUAUGGUAGCUAGACCUUCAAAAUUUAUGUGUUUAAACUUUGUUAAUGUUGUUUCUUUGCAAUUCUUUUACCCUUCUUGGUCAGAGCGAUGUAGUGGGAGCUGCAAGCUUCACGUGUCUCAACUUUGUCAGAGAACUUUGGCAAAGUUAUCUGUGGUACCCAUGAGCUACUGUUGCGUGUGGGAAGUGGGUGAUUGAACAGUGCGAUUCAUGUGCUUUCUACUUCGUCAGAAAUCUUCGACAGAAUGCCCAUAAUUUCCGCAAAGCUGAGUGUGCGUGUGACAGGUGCUGACAAGGCUGGGAAAGUAGGUGCCUCUUCGAUUUCUGAGAUCGGCCCUCGUGGUCUCUGAGCAGCCCAGCUUUUGAGAGAAAGCAACCUCUUCGAUUUCUGAGAUCGGCCUUCGUGGUCUUUGAGCAGCCCAGCUUUUGAGAAAGCAAACGCCUCUUCGAUUUCUGAGAUCGACCCUCGUGGUCUCUGAGCAGCCCAGCUUUUGAGAAAGCAAACGCCUCUUCGAUUUCUGAGCAGGCGCCUCUUCGAUUUUCUGAAGCUUCGUCGAGUGCAGAUUUUUAUAGGGGCUGACAUUAAGUUCCAAAGCACACUUGAAUAUCCACCAGUAGAAGCUCCAUUCUUGCACUUCUAAGAUCUUGAUUUGUCCGACCUCUUCUCUCUUCAACACCUUUGAAAAUGUCUGGCCCCUCCGACCGUCGUUUUGACUUGAACCUUGUUGAAGAGGCAGCCCCGCCUUCUUCAGACAACAUAUGGCGCCCAUCCUUCGUCUCCCCUACUGGUCCUCUUACCGUUAAGGAUUCCGUGAUGAAGAAUGAUAUGACCGCUGCGGUAGUGGCCAGGAACCUUCUCACUCCCAAAGAUAACAGACUACUUUCCAAACGGUCUAAUGAGUUGGCUGUUAAGGAUUCUCUGGCUCUCAGUGUUCAGUGUGCAGGUUCUGUGUCUAAUAUGGCCCAACGCCUAUUUGCUCGAACCCGCCAAGUUGAAUCAUUGGCGGCUGAAGUGAUGAGUCUCAAACAGGAGAUUAGAGGGCUCAAGCAUGAGAAUAAACAGUUGCACCGGCUCGCACAUGACUAUGCUACAAACAUGAAGAGGAAGCUUGACAAGAUGAAGGAAUCUGAUGGUCAGGUUUUACUUGAUCAUCAGAGAUUUGUGGGUUUGUUCCAAAACCAUUUAUUGCCUUCGUCUUCUGGGGCUGUACCGCGUAAUGAAGCUCCAAAUGAUCAACCUCUGAUGCCUCCUCCUUCUAGGGUUUUGUCCAGUACUGAGGCUCCGAAUGAUCCCCCUCCGGUGCCUUCUCUUUCUGGGGCUCUACCGACUGCUGAGACUUCUCCUAAGCAACCUUUGUGAAGGCUCCCUCUUGUUUGUUUAAUUUGACUCCAGUAUAUGUACAUUUGUAACUUAUCGGGGAUAUCAAUAAAUAAGCUUUCCUUCAUUUCAACGUAUUGUGUUAAAUACACCAAAGCCUUCUUCGCUAAGUUCUUUGAAUUUUCUUUUGUUGAAGCUUGUAUGUUGAAGCUUUGUGAGUGGAGCAUAUAGGUUGAGGUAAUGUUCCCUUAAUUUCCCGAGUGAGGAAAACUUCUCGGUUGGAGACUUGGAAAAUCCAAGUCACUGAGUGGGAUCGGCUAUAUGAAUCUUAGAACGCCAUUGUGUUCUGUCCUGUGUCAUAUCCUCCGUUAGAUCCAAGUACUCUAAGUCUUUUCUUAGGGUCUCUUCCAAAGUUUUCCUAGGUCUUCCUCUGCUCCUUCGGCCCUGAACCUCUGUCCCAUAGUCGCAUCUUCUAAUCGGAGCGUCAGUAGGUCUUCUUUGCACAUGUCCAAACCACCGUAACCGAUUUUCUCUCAUCUUUCCUUCAAUUUCGGCUACUCCUACUUUACCCCGGAUAUCCUCAUUCCUAAUCUUAUCCUUUCUCGUGUGCCCACACAUCCAACGAAGCAUCCUCAUCUCCGCUACACCCAUUUUGUGUACGUGUUGAUGCUUCACCGCCCAACAUUCUGUGCCAUACAGCAUCGCCGGCCUUAUUGCCGUCCUAUAAAAUUUUCCCUUGAGCUUCAGUGGCAUACGGCGGUCACACAACACGCCGGAUGCACUCUUCCACUUCAUCCAUCCAGCUUGUAUUCUAUGGUUGAGAUCUCCAUCUAAUUCUCCGUUCUUUUGCAAGAUAGAUCCUAGGUAACGAAAACGGUCGCUCUUUGGUAUUUCUUGAUCUUCGAUCCUCACCCCUAACUCGUUUUGGCCUCCAUUUGCACUGAACUUGCACUCCAUAUAUUCUGUCUUUGAUCGGCUUAGGCGAAGACCUUUAGAUUUCAGCACUUCUCUCCAAAGGUUAAGCUUUGCAUUUACCCCUUCCUGAGUUUCAUCUAUCAACACUAUAUCGACUGCGAAAAGCAUACACCAAGGAAUAUCACCUUGAAUAUGUCCUGUUAACUCAUCCAUUACCAACGCAAAAAGGUAAGGACUUAAGGAUGAGCCUUGAUGUAAUCCUACAGUUAUGGGAAAGCUUUCGGUUUGUCCUUCAUGAGUUCUUACGGCAGUCUUUGCUCCUUCAUACAUAUCCUGUAUAGCUUGGAUAUAUGCUACUCGUACUCCUUUCUUCUCUAAAAUCCUCCAAAGAAUGUCUCUUGGGACCCUAUCAUACGUUUUUUUCCAAAUCUAUAAAGACCAUGUGUAAAUCCUUUUUCCCAUCUCUAUAUCUUUCCAUCAAUCUUCGUAAGAGAUAGAUUGCCUCCAUGGUUGAGCGCCCUGGCAUGAACCCGAAUUGGUUGUCUGAAACCCGUGUCUCUUGCCUCAAUCUAUGCUCAAUGACUCUCUCCCAGAGCUUCAUUGUAUGACUCAUUAGCUUAAUACCCCUAUAGUUCAUGCAAUUUUGUACAUCGCCCUUAUUCUUGUAGAUAGGCACCAAAGUGCUCAUUCGCCACUCAUUCGGCAUCUUCUUCGUUUUCAAAAUCCUAUUGAAAAGGUUAGUGAGCCAUGUUAUACCUGUCUCUCCCAAAACUUUCCACACUUCGAUUGGUAUAUCGUAUGGGCCUACUGUUUUUCUAUGCUUCAUCUUCUUCAAAGCUACACCCACUUCUUCCUUCCGGAUUCUACGAUAAAAAGAGUAGUUUCUACACUCUUCUGAGUUACUCAACUCCCCUAAAGAAGCACUCAUUUCAUGUCCUUCAUUGAAAAGAUUAUGAAAAUAACCUUUCCAUCUGUCUUUAACCGCGUUCUCUGUAGCAAGAACCUUUCCAUCCUCAUCCUUGAUGCACCUCACUUGGUUUAGGUCCCUUGUCUUCUUGUCCCUUGCUCUAGCUAGUUUAUAGAUAUCAAACUCUCCUUCUUUGGUAUCUAGUCGCUUAUACAUAUCGUCAUAAGCCGCUAACUUAGCUUCUCUCACAGCUUUCUUCGCCUCUUGCUUCGCUUUUCUAUACCUUUCACCAUUUUCAUCGAUCAUAUCCUUGUAUAAGGCUUUACAACAUUCCUUCUUAGCCUUCACCUUUGCUUGUACCUCCUCAUUCCACCACCAAGAUUCCUUUUGGUGUGGGGCAAAGCCCUUGGACUCUCCUAAUACCUCUUUUGCUACUUUUCGGAUACAACUAGCCAUGGAAUCCCACAUUUGGUUAGCUUCCCCCUCUCUAUCCCACACACACUGGGUGAUUACUCUCUUUUUGAAAAUGGCUUGUUUUUCUUCUUUUAGAUUCCACCAUCUAGUCCUUGGGCACUUCCAAGUCUUGUUCUUUUUUCUCACUCUUUUGAUAUGUACAUCCAUCACCAACAAGCGAUGUUGAUUAGCCACGCUCUCUCCUGGUAUAACUUUGCAAUCCUUACAAGUUAUACGAUCCCCUUUCCUCAUUAGAAGAAAAUCUAUUUGUGUUUUUGACGACCCACUCUUGUAGGUGAUCACAUGUUCUUCUCUCUUCUUAAAGAAGGUGUUGGCUAAGAAGAGAUCAUAUGCCAUUGCAAAAUCCAAGAUAGCUUCCCCAUCCUCGUUUCUCUCCCCAAAACCAUGGCCACCAUGAAAACCUCCAUAGUUGCCUGUCUCCCUGCCCACGUGUCCAUUUAAAUCUCCUCCUAUAAAUAACUUCUCCGUCUGAGCAAUUCCUUGCACCAAGUCUCCAAGGUCUUCCCAAAAUUUCUCCUUCGAACUCGUAUCCAACCCUACUUGAGGUGCGUACACACUAAUCACAUUGAUAAGUUCUUGUCCUAUUACAAUCUUGAUUGCCAUGAUUCUAUCUCCUACCCUCUUGACAUCUACAACAUCUUGUGUCAAGGUCUUGUCCACGAUGAUGCCAACACCGUUUCUCGUUCUAUUUGUGCCCGAAUACCAUAGUUUAAACCCUGAGUUUUCUAGAUCCUUUGCCUUACUACCAACCCACUUAGUUUCUUGUAGGCACAUAAUAUUUAUCCUUCUCCUCACCAUAACUUCUACUACUUCCAUAGAUUUUCCCGUCAAGGUUUCUAUAUUCCACGUUCCUAAACGCAUUUUGCUCUCUUGAACUCUACCCUUCUGUCCUAGCUUCUUCACCCUUCCCCGUCUAAUAGGAUCAAAGUACUUCUUUUGUGUGUCCCGUGUAAAGUUGAUAGGAGCGUAUGCUCCCAAACAACUUUGAGUGGAGUCGUUCGAAAAGAAGUUUCUAUAUCCCCUUGCUCAUUUAACACUGCAUCCGGGUGCCGAUGGAGAUACAGCGACCCUUGCUCACUUAUCAUUGUGCUCAGGCCACACAGCGCGCCACUUACGGGUGACGCCCUAGCUUUAGCGCGAUUUCGUUCUGGAUUCAUUUUCAUAAGGAUUCGACGUGAUCAUGGAGUGCCGGCUGUCGACUACCUGACGCCCUCCCCCUCCUCCUUUAUCCGGGCUUGGGACCGGCAAUGUAAGAUAAACUUACACGGCGGAGUUAGGUCUAAAAUAUACAAAGUGAGUAAAACCACAGCUUGGUCGGUACUUUAGUCUUAUAUAACGCUAAACCAAGUGACUUGGUCACAUAAUUCAAUUAUAGCAUAUUAUCAAUAAUAAAUAUUUAACUGAUAAAAUAUGAAUGCAACUUAGCUUCAUUUUACCAAACCCAUUCAUGUAAUAAAACAAGCGGACUGGCAUGUCCUAUACCUGCAUUUUACCACUGCCCGUGGUUUAGUCAUCCCAAAUUCUCCUUUUGUUAGUGAUCUUGUUCUUCUCUUGUUCGCCAGAUUUCCCACUACUUCAUAUCAUUCUUAUAAUUUCACUUUUGUCACUCUGGCUGGUCCCUACAAGAGUCGAACUCAACCACAUAAACGAUAAUUUCAUUCUCAUAACCCAAUCUCGAAUUUACUAGUAUCCAUCCACUCCAAUAUGUAAUGAUAUAUGCAUAUAGAUAUAAUCGAUACUAUUAUGAUAUCCAUGAUAUCAAUAAUAACAUAUUAUAUUUUAAAAUAUGCUUUUAUAUUAAUUAUAGAGAUAUAUCAAGAAGAACAUAUGUUUAACAAAGCUUAAACAAGACAGCCCGUAAGGCUUGGUCUCUUUUGAGCCUUACAGCCCGUUGCUUCUUCAAUUGAACUUCAGUCUAGCAACGAAAUAAAAAGAAACUCUCCUCUUUUUAUUUGGGCCAGUAGCUCCAAUUUUUUUUUUUUUUUUUUUUUUUUGGGGACCUCCCACUCCAAAUCAGCCCUCUGUCUGUUCCUUUUUUUUUUCAUUAGGCCGCAACUCCCCUAGUCUCCUAGAUUACUCACAAAUGGGCCCUGAUGCCGCCCAACCUUUACUUUAAUUGCUCAAAUUAAUAUGCCUUUUUCAAUUCGAUUGUACAUGGUGCAUUUGGGAUUGCAGUGGAUCAACCUAAAGUUUGUACUAAAUUUCGAACCUACAGUUUUGAGACGUGUCAUAGAAAUUUGAAGUUUCUAUAAGGGAAAAGGAUCCUCGCUAGAUUCUUUUUCUAGAGAUCCCCGUGAUCUCAUCCGUUCAUCGUACACCGUGCGAUCAGAAAUCAUUUUAAAAUUUAAAAUUAAAUAUGAAUAGUAUCUAACGAAAACUGAUCGCAUGAUAUACGAUAAACGAUUGAAAUCACGGCAGAUGCUUUUCCUUCUGUAAGGACUUUUAAUCCGUUUAGCUCAUGCCUUGUUGGCCUAAUAUGUGUGUGUAAUAUUUAACUUGCCUCGACGCAUAAAUAUUUAACUUGUACUUUUACACUUGUCAUAUGUCACAUUUCACAUCUUCAACCAUUGUUUUGUCUUAAUACACAUAGUUAUCUGUACUAUUAUUAAGAAAACUCUUGUAUAUAUUAAUAACUAUUUAUAAAAAAUACUAAGCACUUCUUACCGCAACCAUAAAAUUUCUAACGGUUAUCGCAAGGAUGUCUAUGCACGACAUAGAGCAAGUUUGGCGAAGCCCUCUUCUUUCCUUUCAUUUUCGAAGUAAAACAGAGGCGUCGCAAUCCUACAAUACACAAAGCGGUACAUUAGCAUUCAUGAAAAUUCGUUCUGUCUCUAUUUUAUUUUCAGAUUCCGAAAAUGAACCGACCCAUCCUAACAUCAUUUAUGAGGACCACGAAACCUCCUCCUCAGGUUUCAAUUGUUAUUUUUGGAAAGAGGAAAGCUUUCUAUCAGUCAAAUGUAGAUAAGUAGAUACCGCCUCGGAAUGCUUUCUAUCAGUCAAAAGCGUAGAUAAGUCACCUCUCCGCUCCCCAAGGAAUAGAAAAGGAGGACCGGACAAUACAAAAUACAUUAAUUACAAAGAGAAAAACCAGGCUUGUAUACUUUCUUCCACGAAACAAUCGUGAAAAACAGCGAUGCUGCUAUUCGUGUCUCGACAAAAAACGAUUUUCUCGACGAUGAGGUUUUGGAGGAUACAGUUAAAAGGUACACCAGAAUCAAAAAUUAGUAUGGAGGUUUCCUUGAGAGAAAAGCCAGGCAUUUAUGGGCUUGGGGAUAGACCUGGUAUUUUGGAUCCGAUUCGUUAAUUCGACUCGUUAAUAUUAGUAUUUUGAUGGAUACUUAAUGGGUCAGGUCGCUAACAGAUGAACUCGUUAACAACCACUUAAAUAACGGGUCACUUUGGGUCAACCCGUUAGACCCGUUAGUUGAGGAUGCUUUAUUAAUUUCAAUAAAGUCUCUACAACAAAAAAUAAACUCUAUGCAAAAAAAAUAAUAAUAAUAAUUGUUAACGGGUGAAACAGGUGACCCGUUAGCUUAAUGGAUUGAAUUCGGAUUACCCGUUAACUUAACGGGUCGGGUUGAACCCGACUCAAACCCAAUAAACCCGACCCGUUUACAGGUGGAGUUAAGAUUAAAGAGAUACAACUAUAAGUAGACUAAAUCUUACAAUAAACUAGCAAGAAUAUAGUUUAAAUUCGUAAAGAUAAAUAUUACUAUACCAUAUUGCUAAGUGAUGAGAAUAUUGAAUUAAACAUGCAUAAUGUUUUUUGGUUUGGGGUGGUAAUGGGAAUUUAUUAAAGUGUGACAUAUGACGUGUGUACUGAUUGGCUCGACUGAACGCUAAUGUGUGGGCACACAUCAGAGAAUGCACCUCGCUUCAAAGGUAGUUGGUUUCAGAGGUCUUUUCGUUUUCAAAGUAAAUUUUACCAGGAGAUUUUUCCGGUCAUCGAAGAUUUAAUCAACAACAACAACAAC